CCCUUAGAUGUUCUGGGCCGCACGCGCGCUACACUGAUGCAUUCAACGAGUUUCUUCCUGGUCCGAGAGGAAUGGGUAACCUUUUGAAAGUGCAUCGUGAUAGGGAUAGACUAUUGCAAUUAUUGGUCUUCAACGAGGAAUUCCUAGUAGACGUAGUUCAUCAGACUGCAUCGAUUACGUCCCUGCCCUUUGUACACACCGCCCGUCGCUACUACCGAUUGAAUGGUUUAGUGAGAUCUUCGGAUUGGCGCCACUGCGGCUCAGCAAUGGGCUCGGUGGAUGCCGAAAAGUUGAUCAAACUUGAUCAUUUAGAGGAAGUAAAAGUCGUAACA
rnacentral:rRNA from 1 species